CUCAGCCACUCAAGAAUGCCAUUACUUUCCUUUGAGCUCGCGAAGUUCCUGCUUGUGCAACGUUACAUGGUCAACUGCUCAGAUCUCCCUCUGCUUCUUUAUGACUACAGUGACUACACGUCUACCCCUAAAGACUUAGCCCUGACCCUAUUUUCCAAAACAGAUGCAUAAACUUAAAAUUGCUGCAGCAGCAUCCUUUACUGCCAAUGAAUGCCCUUCUUGCACGAGGAUGAUCAGUGACUUGACAGAGCCUGAUUUCAUAAUAACAUGUUUAUUUGAGUUGAUAAUACAAACAUGGUCGCAGAUGCAUUGCUCGUCAUCUUAAGGCUUUCGCUUCUCAAGGACUCGAUAGGAAAAAGAAUGGCCAGUGUAGUUUCCUGUAAUUUCGGUUAAAGAAUUCUGACUUGAAAAGGAGAAUUUCCAAGAUCUUUAUGUUUAAUCACCUUGAUAUUCGAUGUCCCAAAAUCUUCACUGUUUGCACUCUUAUGGUCUCAAUCUCGAUCACAAUUGAAAGAGAUCAUUAUUCAUGAUCAAAGUGUCAAGAUCUGUGAGUUUUCUUGAAAAAAUAUGAUUCCAGUUCCUCUUCAAUUUUGAUGUAUUUUCCAACACGAAAAGCCAACAUUUUUCUCUCAUGUUUUGUGCAAGACAGGUUAAUGGAAGUUGGGGGCGAAUCCAAAAUUUUAGCUGAACUAGGGUGAUCGUUGACUGUUGACCAUCGAUAGUCAACGACUAUAAUGGCGAUGUUAUUAAUACUAAAUUAAAUAAUGUUAAAAAUUCUUCUAUCUUUAUAUAAAGGCAUUAAAACGUAAAAAUUAUACAUUUAUAUGAAAAUAUAAUUUAAUACAAUUAAAAAUAAAAAAUAUAAAUUAUAUAAUACAACAUCACUCUGUGAUUUGCAUUCUCCGGG
rnacentral:lncRNA from 1 species